UACGUAGGGUCCGAGCGUUGUCCGGAAUUAUUGGGCGUAAAGGGCUCGUAGGCGGUUUGUCACGUCGGGAGUGAAAACUCAGGGCUCAACCCUGAGCGUGCUUCCGAUACGGGCAGACUAGAGGUAUGCAGGGGAGAACGGAAUUCCUGGUGUAGCGGUGGAAUGCGCAGAUAUCAGGAGGAACACCGGUGGCGAAGGCGGUUCUCUGGGCAUUACCUGACGCUGAGGAGCGAAAGCAUGGGGGGCGAACAGG
rnacentral:rRNA from 1 species